ACCCACGCCACCAUAGCGCUCGAUCCCACCAUACUCCCAUUUCGAGAGAAUCCAAUUCCAAUCCAUUGGUGAUUAUUCUUCCCUGAUAAAACGAUCGUCGUCACGUUCUGACCGUCCUGGUAAAACUGCAUUCAACCAUCAAAAUGGAAAACUUCUGUUGCCAAAUGUGGGAGCAAGAUAGGCUGGAGAGAUCAGAAUAUGGUGGAGGAAGAAUGGUUCUGAGAUUCGUAUUGCAGGUUGCCGAAGGAUUGGCCGUGUUGGAAUAGGCGAUGACGGCUUUGAGAUUGAAUCCGACGAUGGAUAUGAAGCAGAAGAGUGAAAAGAGGAGAAGUUUGUUUGAAGAAUAUGAAAGUGCCAUUUUCUUAAUUUCACUUUCUUUGUCUCUCUAAUCCUCUCUCUCUCUUUACACAGAAAGCUUGCUUGAGAUAGCCAUUAAUGGAAGCACACAUUUUUUGUUCAAACAAGUGGAAGGUGGAGAAGGAAAAAGGGCAUUGGAUCACGCUUGACCAUUGUACUCAUCAACCCAAGGAUUUUGGUUUGUGGAUUACUAAACUUACUAUUUUCUUUUUGUUUAGAAUUUGUGGAUAUAUUUCUACAUCUUGAAAGUUUCAUCUUUACCCUUAACGUUACCUUUGUUUCAAAUAAUGCCCUUUGAGAGUGUUUUAUCUGAUAAA